AUGGCGGCAAGCUAGGUGAGAUAGUUACCAAAACGCGAUGAACUUUACCAACGUUUCGAGUGAAAUCAGGUGAAUUUAGCACGUUCAAAAUCGAUGCUGAUAUCCUCGACCUUGCUAGUCGAAAGUCGAAAAUGCGAUCGAAGUCUACUCAAAAUUCGUCAGCAAACAACAACUGCUUCUAUCAUGACAAUCAAACGAUUUGAAAAAUUGACUUUCACUUUCGACUAGUUUUGUGCGGUUUUAACUGAUUGAGAGCGUUAAGAUUCUGUAGUCAGCAGAAAAAGGUUACAAUGACGUCUAAUCAAGGCUGGACAAAUGAGCUUGGAAACAAUGCAAAGACAUUCCUUGAAAGCCUUCAACGUGCUAAAGUAGAUGGAGUACCAGAAAAUACACUGUUGGUUGAAGUAAGUGGUUCACAUUGUGUUAACUGCU